rnacentral:rRNA from 1 species
GGAUGCGGUCAUACCAGCACUAAAGCACCGGAUCCCAUCAGAACUCUGUAGUUAAGCGUGCUUGGGCGAGAGUAGUACUAGGAUGGGUGACCUCCUGGGAAGUCCUCGUGUUGCAUUCC